rnacentral:rRNA from 1 species
UACGUAGGGGGCAAGCGUUGUCCGGAUUUAUUGGGCGUAAAGAGCGUGUAGGCGGCCAGGUAGGUCUGCUGUGAAAACUCGAGGCUUAACCUCGAGCUGUCGGCGGAAACCAUCUGGCUAGAGUCCGGAAGAGGAGAAUGGGAUUCCCGGUGUAGCGGUGAAAUGCGCAGAUAUCGGGAAGAACACCCGUGGCGAAGGCGGUUCUCUGGGACGGUAACUGGACGCUGAGACGCGAAAGCGUGGGGAGCGAACAGG